GGGUUGUGAGGUUAAGCGACUAAGCGUACACGGUGGAUGCCCUGGCAGUCAGAGGCGAUGAAGGGCGUGCUAAUCUGCGAUAAGCGCCGGUAAGGUGAUAUGAACCGUUAUAACCGGCGAUACCCGAAUGGGGAAACCCAGUGUGAUUCGUCACACUAUCAUUAACUGAAUCCAUAGGUUAAUGAGGCGAACCGGGGGAACUGAAACAUCUAAGUACCCCGAGGAAAAGAAAUCAACCGAGAUUCCCCCAGUAGCGGCGAGCGAACGGGGAGGAGCCCAGAGCCUGAAUCAGCAUGUGUGUUAGUGGAAGCGUCUGGAAAGGCGCGCGAUACAGGGUGACAGCCCCGUACACAAAAGCGCAUGUGCUGUGAGCUCGAUGAGUAGGGCGGGACACGUGGUAUCCUGUCUGAAUAUGGGGGGACCAUCCUCCAAGGCUAAAUACUCCUGACUGACCGAUAGUGAACCAGUACCGUGAGGGAAAGGCGAAAAGAACCCCGGCGAGGGGAGUGAAAAAGAACCUGAAACCGUGUACGUACAAGCAGUGGGAGCACCCUUUGGGUGUGACUGCGUACCUUUUGUAUAAUGGGUCAGCGACUUAUAUUCUGUAGCAAGGUUAACCGAAUAGGGGAGCCGGAGGGAAACCGAGUCUUAACCGGGCGUUAAGUUGCAGGGUAUAGACCCGAAACCCGGUGAUCUAGCCAUGGGCAGGUUGAAGGUUGGGUAACACUAACUGGAGGACCGAACCGACUAAUGUUGAAAAAUUAGCGGAUGACCUGUGGCUGGGGGUGAAAGGCCAAUCAAACCGGGAGAUAGCUGGUUCUCCCCGAAAGCUAUUUAGGUAGCGCCUCGUGAAUUCAUCUCCGGGGGUAGAGCACUGUUUCGGCUAGGGGGCCAUCCCGGCUUACCAACCCGAUGCAAACUGCGAAUACCGGAGAAUGUUAUCACGGGAGACACACGGCGGGUGCUAACGUCCGUCGUGAAGAGGGAAACAACCCAGACCGCCAGCUAAGGUCCCAAAGUCAUGGUUAAGUGGGAAACGAUGUGGGAAGGCCCAGACAGCCAGGAUGUUGGCUUAGAAGCAGCCAUCAUUUAAAGAAAGCGUAAUAGCUCACUGGUCGAGUCGGCCUGCGCGGAAGAUGUAACGGGGCUAAACCAUGCACCGAAGCUGCGGCAGCGACACUGUGUGUUGUUGGGUAGGGGAGCGUUCUGUAAGCCUGUGAAGGUGUGUCGUGAGGCAUGCUGGAGGUAUCAGAAGUGCGAAUGCUGACAUAAGUAACGAUAAAGCGGGUGAAAAGCCCGCUCGCCGGAAGACCAAGGGUUCCUGUCCAACGUUAAUCGGGGCAGGGUGAGUCGACCCCUAAGGCGAGGCCGAAAGGCGUAGUCGAUGGGAAACGGGUUAAUAUUCCCGUACUUGGUGUUACUGCGAAGGGGGGACGGAGAAGGCUAUGUUGGCCGGGCGACGGUUGUCCCGGUUUAAGCGUGUAGGUGUGUGUUCCAGGUAAAUCCGGUUCACUUUAACACUGAGGCGUGACGACGAGGCACUACGGUGCUGAAGCAACAAAUGCCCUGCUUCCAGGAAAAGCCUCUAAGCAUCAGGUAACAUCAAAUCGUACCCCAAACCGACACAGGUGGUCAGGUAGAGAAUACCAAGGCGCUUGAGAGAACUCGGGUGAAGGAACUAGGCAAAAUGGUGCCGUAACUUCGGGAGAAGGCACGCUGACACGUAGGUGAAGUGAUUUACUCAUGGAGCUGAAGUCAGUCGAAGAUACCAGCUGGCUGCAACUGUUUAUUAAAAACACAGCACUGUGCAAACACGAAAGUGGACGUAUACGGUGUGACGCCUGCCCGGUGCCGGAAGGUUAAUUGAUGGGGUCAGCGCAAGCGAAGCUCCUGAUCGAAGCCCCGGUAAACGGCGGCCGUAACUAUAACGGUCCUAAGGUAGCGAAAUUCCUUGUCGGGUAAGUUCCGACCUGCACGAAUGGCGUAAUGAUGGCCAGGCUGUCUCCACCCGAGACUCAGUGAAAUUGAACUCGCUGUGAAGAUGCAGUGUACCCGCGGCAAGACGGAAAGACCCCGUGAACCUUUACUAUAGCUUGACACUGAACAUUGAGCCUUGAUGUGUAGGAUAGGUGGGAGGCUUUGAAGUGUGGACGCCAGUCUGCAUGGAGCCGACCUUGAAAUACCACCCUUUAAUGUUUGAUGUUCUAACGUGGACCCGUUACCCGGGUUGCGGACAGUGUCUGGUGGGUAGUUUGACUGGGGCGGUCUCCUCCUAAAGAGUAACGGAGGAGCACGAAGGUUGGCUAAUCCUGGUCGGACAUCAGGAGGUUAGUGCAAUGGCAUAAGCCAGCUUGACUGCGAGCGUGACGGCGCGAGCAGGUGCGAAAGCAGGUCAUAGUGAUCCGGUGGUUCUGAAUGGAAGGGCCAUCGCUCAACGGAUAAAAGGUACUCCGGGGAUAACAGGCUGAUACCGCCCAAGAGUUCAUAUCGACGGCGGUGUUUGGCACCUCGAUGUCGGCUCAUCACAUCCUGGGGCUGAAGUAGGUCCCAAGGGUAUGGCUGUUCGCCAUUUAAAGUGGUACGCGAGCUGGGUUUAGAACGUCGUGAGACAGUUCGGUCCCUAUCUGCCGUGGGCGCUGGAGAACUGAGGGGGGCUGC
rnacentral:rRNA from 1 species